UACGUAGGUGACAAGCGUUGUCCGGAUUUACUGGGCGUAAAGAGCGCGCAGGCGGUCGUUCAAGUCGCGUGUGAAAGCCCCCGGCUCAACUGGGGAGGGUCACGCGAUACUGAUCGACUCGAAGGCAGGAGAGGGUAGUGGAAUUCCUGGUGUAGCGGUGAAAUGCGCAGAUAUCAGGAGGAACACCGGUGGCGAAGGCGGGUCUCUGGGCCGAAACUGACGCUGAGGAGCGAAAGCGUGGGGAGCGAACAGG
rnacentral:rRNA from 1 species